rnacentral:rRNA from 1 species
GAUGAACGCUGGUGGCGUGCCUAAUACAUGCAAGUCGAGCGAACAGACGAGGAGCUUGCUCCUCUGACGUUAGCGGCGGACGGGUGAGUAACACGUGGAUAACCUACCUAUAAGACUGGGAUAACUUCGGGAAACCGGAGCUAAUACCGGAUAAUAUAUUGAACCGCAUGGUCCAAUAGUGAAAGACGGUUUUGCUGUCACUUAUAGAUGGAUCCGCGCCGCAUUAGCUAGUUGGUAAGGUAACGGCUUACCAAGGCGACGAUGCGUAGCCGACCUGAGAGGGUGAUCGGCCACACUGGAACUGAGACACGGUCCAGACUCCUACGGGAGGCAGCAGUAGGGAAUCUUCCGCAAUGGGCGAAAGCCUGACGGAGCAACGCCGCGUGAGUGAUGAAGGUCUUCGGAUCGUAAAACUCUGUUAUUAGGGAAGAACAAAUGUGUAAGUAACUAUGCACGUCUUGACGGUACCUAAUCAGAAAGCCACGGCUAACUACGUG